rnacentral:rRNA from 1 species
UACGGAGGUCUCAAGCGUUGUUCGGAUUCAUUGGGCGUAAAGGGUGCGUAGGCGGCGCGGUAAGUCGGGUGUGAAAUCUCGGAGCUUAACUCCGAAACUGCAUUCGAUACUGCCGUGCUUGAGGACUGGAGAGGAGACUGGAAUUUACGGUGUAGCGGUGAAAUGCGUAGAUAUCGUAAGGAAGACCAGUGGCGAAGGCGGGUCUCUGGACAGUUCCUGACGCUGAGGAGCGAAAGCGUGGGGAGCGAACAGG